AACAUAUAGGAAUCGAUUUCAAACUAAAAGUGAAAGAAUGGAACUUUAUUCCCUUCCCUUUUUGUUUCUUCCCUUUCUUAUCUACGGGCAACUAGUUAUGGAUACUAGCGUAUAAUAGUGGUUUUAACUGCAUUCACAAAGUGGUGUAAUUUAUUGCGUCAUUAUGCUCGGUCUAAGGAGCCGCUUGGAAAACGACGACGGCGACGACGACGACGACGACGACGACGACGACGACGACGACGACGACGACGACAGGACCUGAUCGGUACGAGUUAAAGACGCCGGAGAUUCCACAAGGCAAGGAACACUUCGUAAAUGAUCCAGCAUUCCAACGAUCGAGUCUUCUACAUCAGAGUGUUCAUCGUGUGAAUAAAAAAAAAAAAAAAAAAAAAAAAAUCGAAUUCAAAGGUACCGCCUUUACAAUGGCCAAUCAUCGAUAAUGUCGCCAAUGAAAAUUAAGACUUGAAAAUAAAUGUCGAUUAAUCCGUUCAUUAUACUUUCGUGCCCAUAUAUCUUUGUAGCCCAUUAAAGAAUGUAAAUAGUAUGAUUGGGAACACGGACUUAAUGAAUUUAUGUCUACAAUUUCUAAAGAAUACAACGCAUUCUUUGAUCAUCCAGUUUAUUUCUUUAACCACUUUGUCUUGCUGAAUAUUAGAAGACAUGUGAAAGAUUAGAUCGUCAUAACUUUAUGACGGUUUUCAAUAAUAAAGCAAGCUGUUGACCG